GCAAUGGUUGCUUUGGUGUAGAUGUUCCUAAAAGGCGGUCUUGCUGUGAUGUUCAAUGCACAGUUAUAUAACCGCAACGUCGCAGAGCAAAUUGCCCUUCGGGUGGCGAUUUAUGAUAUAUUCCAGUAACUGUUUGUAGCCGCUUAGGCCUUGAUCAGACAGUUAAACCAUAUCAAAAACAGUU
rnacentral:snoRNA from 1 species